AGCUUUGUGCAGAGGCAGUAUCAUGGCCAAUGAGGUUUAGCCAUGGCGUGAUUAUUGCUAAUUGAAAACUUUUUCCAAUAGCCCACCAUGACAACUUGUAAUAUAGUCAGCAUUAAAAAUAAA
ensembl:snRNA U4 U4 spliceosomal RNA